UACACUCCUACGGGAGGCAGCAGUGGGGAAUAUUGCACAAUGGGCGCAAGCCUGAUGCAGCCAUGCCGCGUGUAUGAAGAAGGCCUUCGGGUUGUAAAGUACUUUCAGCGGGGAGGAAGGCGAUAAGGUUAAUAACCUUGUCGAUUGACGUUACCCGCAGAAGAAGCACCGGCUAACUCCGUGCCAGCAGCCGCGGUAAUACGGAGGGUGCAAGCGUUAAUCGGAAUUACUGGGCGUAAAGCGCACGCAGGCGGUCUGUCAAGUCGGAUGUGAAAUCCCCGGGCUCAACCUGGGAACUGCAUUCGAAACUGGCAGGCUAGAGUCUUGUAGAGGGGGGUAGAAUUCCAGGUGUAGCGGUGAAAUGCGUAGAGAUCUGGAGGAAUACCGGUGGCGAAGGCGGCCCCCUGGACAAAGACUGACGCUCAGGUGCGAAAGCGUGGGGAGCAAACAGGAUUAGAUACCCCAGUAGUCCCA
rnacentral:rRNA from 1 species